rnacentral:lncRNA from 1 species
CCCGAGGGAUGCUCUGGACAGGUGAGACAGGCCCAGAUUUGACUCCAGCUCCAGCCUUGCUAAAGCCACUUCGUUACUCCCUGAAAUUCCACUUUCUCAGCUAUGAAGCUGGCAAUUCGGGGAAAAAAGGAGAAGAGAUGGAGGAGAAAAUGAUCCCCAGGAAAUGCCAAAGAGGUGAAGUCUCAGAAAGGAAGACCUUCUGUUUCCAGGAGCUGUAUUUACAAUCAACUACAGGCAUAAAUGCUUCAUCUUCAAAGAAAUUCAUGGAAAUGGCCCUGACAGGGAAACCACCACAACAGACCGUGUAUGGACAAGCUUCAUGCCUGUUGCUGUGUGGGCCACUCAAGAGAGUUCACCAGAACACCUGAUGACAUUAUCGAAGACAGUCAACUGGAAACCAGGAAAAUCCAUCAGAUGGAAACUACCAUCCUCAUUCCACCAUUUAAAGAUGCUUCUAACUGAAAUCUAGAAAUUUUCUCAAUUGGCUGUUCUCCAAACUCAGAAACUGAGUUCAUAAUUUGCUCAAACUAUUAACCUUUGUUUUCCUUUUGUCUCAAUAGAAAUGCCUCUUAUUAAGUUACCUAAUUGCUCGCAUCACAUAGAGGCCUAACUUAGGAGAAAGCUCACUUACAACAUUGCCUCCUGAAAUAAAACAUCCUCCUGUUCAUCCUAAGUAAUCAUGAGGGUAAGUCAUCCUAAGUAAUCCAUGUCCUAACUAAUCAUAAGGAUAUGUGAUUGCUAAUACGUCAUGUUGUGCCUGUG